rnacentral:rRNA from 1 species
GACGAACGCUGGCGGCGUGCUUAACACAUGCAAGUCGAGCGGUAAGGCCCUUUCGGGGGUACGACGAGCGGCGAACGGGUGAGUAACACGUGGGUGACCUGCCCUCAGCUCUGGGAUAAGCCUGGGAAACCGGGUCUAAUACUGGAUAUGACUCCAUGACGCAUGUUGUGGGGUGGAAAGCCUUGUGCGGCUGAGGAUGGGCCCGCGGCCUAUCAGCUUGUUGGUGGGGUGAGGCCUACCAAGGCGACGACGGGUAGCCGGCCUGAGAGGGCGACCGGCCACACUGGGACUGAGACACGGCCCAGACUCCUACGGGAGGCAGCAGUGGGGGAAUCUUGCGCAAUGGGCGAAAGCCUGACGCAGCGACGCCGCGUGAGGGAUGACGGCCUGGUGUAACU